GCAAGCCUCCAGCUCGCGGUCUCUCGCUGAGGACCAAGAGACAUUGGUGUAGAGGAGAUUCUGUGCGUGUGUUUUUCAUAUCUGUGUGGAUUUGUUUCAAAGACAUUGUCAUCUCUGUAGAAGCCAGUUUCAAUCUCUGGUUUCUACCCCUUGCUCUGCGGGCAGGGCACUGUGCGGCACCCGUUGCAGGCCACCUGGGUGCAGGAGAUCGAGGAGGGUGAAGGGAGGAGCAACCCUGAGCAUCUGCCAUCCAGCUCCAUCCGAUCUAGAGCAAACACCCCCAGUGCCCAGAUGACGUGGCCUGAGGAGGAGGAGGAGCAGGA